rnacentral:lncRNA from 1 species
GUGAAUGAUAGAUGACCAAUCUAAAAAGCUUCCUCAAGUUCCUUCAAUGCAUUUAGUUCCUAAGGGAUUAGUGAGUGCCUUACUGCAAUGCCUGAACUCUGCUGGAGGAGCUGCAGAAGGGCUGGCAGCAGGCUGGAGUGUGGACUGGAAAAACUCAACUGACACGGGUCUGCAAGGCCUGCAUGGCUGCUUCUGCAUCCCACACCUGAAGGCAGGAUGGCCGCACUGCCGGGCCAAGGACGGACUUCAAAAAUGCUCAGCACAUCGCUGCAUCUAAGACUACCCAUUUUCUGCUCUGAAACAUGACUUUUCAGAUCUCUUUGUUACCAUCACACAAGUCACUGUCCUCCAAGUCUCUGAAGAUGACUUUUCUCCAGCUGAGAUUUACAAGGUCAGAGGCUAUAAUCUCCUGGAAGCUGUCCCCAGCUAAUUACAUCUUGUCCAUCC